CACUUCUGUUCCCCCAUUAAUCAUACAGACUAUCACAACAGCAGCCAAUAAUGCAGCCCCCAUCGGUGGUAGAUGAGCGCCACAUCAGAUGCUACACUGCGUUGUUCCUAAUCCCCACCGGUAUCCUGAGCAGCUCUUAUAGCCCAUUUUACAGAUGGGUAAGUGGAGUCUCAGAGGGAGAAGCCAUGACACAGCUAAAAUCACAAAACUGGGCCGUGACCGAGCCACAGACCGGGGCACCGGUUUGCCUUCUGCAGGUUACUCUCCUAACCCUCUUUUGCUCUACAACACUCUAGAAGGUUUCAUGAGAUCACCGUGAUGAUAUUCUGGAAGGACGAGGAGGAAUAGUGAAGGGCCACCGCCUUUCGGGUCACUGCCCAACCUAUUUAAAAUUCUCUUGUCAGUUUGUGACAAUAAUCUCUUAAGGGCCAUUCCUGACACAGUAAGACAGGAAAUGGUUGAUUGGCUUUUUCUGACUUGGCCCUGUUCACCUGCUUGAUCGGUUUUCUUGGCCCACUCCUCCUGUUCUAUCUUUAUCCCUCUGGGUGCAUUAUGAAUAAUAGCUAACAUUUCUAGAGGGCUUACCAUGUGCUGGGCAUUGUGCCAAGGAAUUUCCGUGACAUCAAUUCAUAUAAUUUUCUCAAAUACCAUCUUAGUAGAUGCUGCUAUUAUACCCAUUUUACAGAUGAGGAGAACCAUCACUUGGAUUAUCAUGAAACCUGAGAGCGCAAGCGUGAGGCGCAGCCCUUUACAACCAACGGACCAUUUCGUUUCUGCGCAGUUCUGUUUGUUUAAACUCUUUGCUGGCAGGACCCCGGCUCCGGAGCAGGGUUCCGUGGUGUUCUCAGGCAGAUGUGCUGGCUUGCUGCAGGGGCUGCCGAUAAGGAAGAAGGUCUGUGAAACGCUGAACCUCGCCCGCCCCUCAGAUAACUGUGACCGCCAAGGCUGGUCUUCAUCCCCUGCAGCCCUUCCCCAAAGCUUCAGACCCUCAGCUGACUCUGCCUUCCCCAAUUUCUAAAAUAAAUAUUCCUCCCAAACCU
ensembl:lncRNA